UACGGAGGAUCCAAGCGUUAUCCGGAAUCAUUGGGCUUAAAGGGCCCGUAGGCGGGUUAAUAAGUCAGUGGUGAAAGGCUGCAGCUUAACUGUAGAAUUGCCAUUGAUACUGGUAACCUUGAGUGAUUAUGACGUGGUUAGAAUAUGUAGUGUAGCGGUGAAAUGCAUAGAUAUUACAUAGAAUAGCGAUUGCGAAGGCAGAUCACUAAUAAUUCACUGACGCUGAGGGACGAAAGCGUAGGUAGCGAACAGG
rnacentral:misc_RNA from 1 species